rnacentral:rRNA from 1 species
AGUGAACGCUGGCGGUAGGCCUAACACAUGCAAGUCGAACGGCAUCACAUUAAGAGCUUGCUCUUACGGGUGGCGAGUGGCGGACGGGUGAGGAAUACAUCGGAAUCUACUUUUUCGUGGGGGAUAACGUAGGGAAACUUACGCUAAUACCGCAUACGACCUACGGGUGAAAGCAGGGGAUCUUCGGACCUUGCGCGAUUGAAUGAGCCGAUGUCGGAUUAGCUAGUUGGCGGGGUAAAGGCCCACCAAGGCGACGAUCCGUAGCUGGUCUGAGAGGAUGAUCAGCCACACUGGAACUGAGACACGGUCCAGACUCCUACGGGAGGCAGCAGUGGGGAAUAUUGGACAAUGGGCGCAAGCCUGAUCCAGCCAUACCGCGUGGGCGAAGAAGGCCUUCGGGUUGUAAAGCCCUUUUGUUGGGAAAGAAAAGCAGCAGGUUAAUACCCCGCUGUUCUGACGGUACCCAAAGAAUAAGCACCGGCUAACUUCGUG